AAGCAUCGUAGGUGACCUGCGGAGGAUCAUUGUCGAAACCUGCCCAGCAGAACGACCCGCGAACGUGUUAAAAGAACCGAACGAUUCGGUCGGGGAGAGCGCGGGUCCCCGCGUUCCCCCGCCCGACCUAACAAAGAACCCCGGCGCGAUCUGCGCCRAGGAACUACAACGGGGGGAUCGUCGCCGCCGCCGCGCGCGCGCGGUUGGCGGCCGAUCCCUUGCUUUAAGAUCCAAAACGACUCUCGGCAACGGAUAUCUCGGCUCUCGCAUCGAUGAAGAACGUAGCGAAAUGCGAUACUUGGUGUGAAUUGCAGAAUCCCGUGAACCAUCGAGUCUUUGAACGCAAGUUGCGCCCUAAGCCACUAGGCCGAGGGCACGUCUGCCUGGGUGUCACGCAUCGUCGCCCCCCCGAAACCCCCUCGCCUGGCGGGGGUGGUGCCCGAGCGGGGCGGAUACUGGCCUCCCGCGUGCUUCGCCGCCCGCGGUUGGCCCAAAAUCGAGUCCCACGGCGUCGAGUGCCGUGACAAACGGUGGUUGGCCUGAUCCGAAAGAGCCUCGACACGCACCGUCACGCGCGCCCGUCGCCGCCGAGGUGGUUCUCCGCGACCCUAACCUUUCGCACGGCGACCCCAGGUCAGGCGGGACUACCCGCUGAGUUUAAGCAUAUCAAUAAGCGGAGGAAA
rnacentral:misc_RNA from 1 species